rnacentral:rRNA from 1 species
UACGUAGGUGGCAAGCGUUGUCCGGAUUUACUGGGCGUAAAGAGCGCGCAGGCGGUCGUUCAAGUCGCGUGUGAAAGCCCCCGGCUCAACUGGGGAGGGUCAUUCGAUACUGAUCGACUCGAAGGCAGGAGAGGGUAGUGGAAUUCCCGGUGUAGUGGUGAAAUGCGUAGAUAUCGGGAGGAAGGCCGGUGGCGAAGGCGGCGCUCUGGAACAUUUCUGACGCUGAGGCUCGAAAGCGUGGGGAGCAAACAGG